rnacentral:rRNA from 1 species
AGAUAUAGUCAAUGCUCGCACGAGUGAACUAGCUAACUGAAAUCACAAAAUCACAAAAUGUGCUUAUUGUGAUAACGUAAGGGAAAAAAUUGAUAUUACCUUACUAUUAGUGUUGUCUAAAUAACUGGUGCCAGAAGACUCGGUAACACCAGAAACGCGAACGUUAGUCGGCUUAAACAGGCGUAAAGGGUAAGUAGGCUGCUUUAAAGUCUAUUUUUAAAUAAGCUAAUUAAUAAUAAUCCUCCACACCCCUAGCUUUUUUUAAUUUACCCUCCCUGCCUUAAGCAGGCGGCGAGGGUGUAACAAAAAAUUAAGGAGGGAGGGCCUUGACUAAGAGACUAUAAAUUUUCAGAUCUUAAAUUAUAAAUUAAAGCAAACUAAAAAUGAAAAUAGGGAAUUAUUAGGCCCAGCCAAAUGCAGGGAGCUAAUAAUAUUAAUUAUUAAAACAAAAAUAGAUACACUUAAAGCUAGAAUCAUAAUUGAGAUAAACCAAAUAAUACUUAUGUGUAAGGGCGAUAUCUGAAAAUACUAAGUGGAAUACUAACGGUGAAAACUUUUUAUCUGGUAAUGAUUGACGCUGAGGUACGAAAGUGAGAAUAGGGAAUAGGAUUAGAUACCCAGUUACCUCUCACCGUCAACGAUGAAUGGUAGUUGUUAGUUUAAUAAAAUUAGUGACGAUGUUAACGCGAUAACCAUUCCGCCUUGAGAGUACGGUUGCAAAACUGAACCAUAAAAAUUAGUCGGUCUCGAGCAACGAAUGAGCAUGUAUUAUUCGAUU